CCUACGGGUGGCAGCAGUGGGGAAUAUUGGACAAUGGGCGAAAGCCUGAUCCAGCCAUGCCGCGUGUGUGAAGAAGGCCUUCGGGUUGUAAAGCACUUUCAGUGGGGAAGAAAGCCUUGGGGCUAAUACCCUCGAGGAAGGACAUCACCCACAGAAGAAGCACCGGCUAACUCCGUGCCAGCAGCCGCGGUAAUACGGAGGGUGCGAGCGUUAAUCGGAAUUACUGGGCGUAAAGCGCGCGUAGGCGGUCUGAUAAGCCGGUUGUGAAAGCCCCGGGCUCAACCUGGGAACGGCAUCCGGAACUGUCAGGGUAGAGUGCAGGAGAGGAAGGUGGAAUUCCCGGGGUAGCGGUGAAAUGCGUAGAGAUCGGGAGGAAUACCAGUGGCGAAGGCGGCCUUCUGGACUGACACUGACGCUGAGGUGCGAAAGCGUGGGUAGCAAACAGGAUUAGAUACCCUUGUAGU
rnacentral:rRNA from 1 species